UGCUAAUGGGCAACACAAAAA
rnacentral:piRNA from 1 species